rnacentral:lncRNA from 1 species
UAGCGGGUACUCGCGCCAUAAAUGAUUCAGGCUUCGGCCGAAAGCGGACAAUUGUGUUUGGCGCGAGCCGACGUGGCGAGCAUCAUAGGUAAUAGAUUCACUCAUAUAAAAGUCUUUAAUUUUAAUGUUCUUAUUUCACUUACGGACAGCUGCUGCUUGUAGCGCAGGUAUUUGCUGGCGCCGUCCAAUCGUUGCCAACGCUGGUCUGUUUUGCAACCAGGCGCUGCUCGUCGAGCCCAGGAGGCGCGACGCAAAGAAUUUACAUUGAUGGACGCGCAUUCCUAUUUGCUCCCUUGGACGCCUUGCAUCUCCUCGCGAGGACCUCGCCGGGCAACGACCCAGGACACCGCUUUGCAUUUCACAGCAAAUAAUUGAUUUAAAUACUGUUAACCCUAAU